rnacentral:lncRNA from 1 species
UCAACAGGCUGUCCACUCAGGAGGACCUCAAGCGGACACUCAAGACGCCUUCGAGACCAUGGCAGAAUCACGCAAACGUCAGCUUGACGAUCAAGAAACAGAAGAUGAGGUACCCCUAUAUUACCAUUUGGAAUUAUUUUUUGGUGACGCCAUCUAUAUUCCCAGGGACAAACUACAAAGUUUAUUGGUUCGAGCGACGAGAACAGUACCUAUGACAUUAAUGAAACCCUGGCGGCAUUUGCGGAACCUGAUCGAGGCGUGGGAGAAGUAUCAGAUCCAAACGUGUCCGAACCAGGAACAGGGGUUGGAGGAGAUGGAAAAAGUUUACAACCCCCUCCACGCUGGGCACUGCAGCUACAGUCAGUUCCAAAACGAAGAAAGCUUGUGCAUGAUGUGUUUCCCGCUCGAGACGACGGAGAAGCUGAGACAAUUUGUCACGACAUUAUCAGAGGAUUCGAGCAAGGGCCCACCCAGUACGGAAUCGCUGCCGUCGCACUCCACACACGAGGAACUACACUCCCACACGUCCACGUCUUACACGACUGCAGCUGGAGCAAUGGCACAUGCCGAUGUGUUACUUCGCUGGCUUCGUCAGACGACCAAAUCGCUCGUCAAUUUGGUCUACAAGCGCCAGUGCAUGGGACCUCUACCAUCUCGUCAAGUAUUUCAAUAGUGAGCCCCGAGUAUUGGAAUACAUUAAAAUGGGAGGAAAUAAUUGGGGUCGCGACAUUAGA